UACGUAGGGUGCAAGCGUUGUCCGGAAUUAUUGGGCGUAAAGAGCUCGUAGGCGGUUUGUUGCGUCGGGAGUGAAAACUUACAGCUUAACUGUGAGCGUGCUUCCGAUACGGGCAGACUUGAGGUAUUCAGGGGAGAACGGAAUUCCUGGUGUAGCGGUGAAAUGCGCAGAUAUCAGGAGGAACACCGGUGGCGAAGGCGGGUCUCUGGGCAGUAACUGACGCUGAGGAGCGAAAGCGUGGGGAGCGAACAGG
rnacentral:rRNA from 1 species